UACGAAGGGGGCUAGCGUUGUUCGGAAUUACUGGGCGUAAAGCGUGCGCAGGCGGCUUCUCAAGUCAGGGGUGAAAGCCCAGAGCUCAACUCUGGAAUUGCCUUUGAGACUGAGUGGCUUGAGUACGAGAGAGGUGAGUGGAAUUCCCAGUGUAGAGGUGAAAUUCGUAGAUAUUGGGAAGAACACCGGUGGCGAAGGCGGCUCACUGGCUCGUAACUGACGCUCAGGCGCGACAGCGUGGGGAUCGAAACAGG
rnacentral:rRNA from 1 species